rnacentral:rRNA from 1 species
CGAGUGGCGGACGGGUGGGUAAUGUCUGGGAAACUGCCCGAUGGAGGGGGAUAACUACUGGAAACGGUAGCUAAUACCGCAUAACGUCGCAAGACCAAAGAGGGGGACCUUAGGGCCUCUUGCCGUCGGAUGUGCCCAGAUGGGAUUAGCUAGUAGGUGGGGUAACGGCUCACCUAGGCGACGAUCCCUAGCUGGUCUGAGAGGAUGACCAGCCACACUGGAACUGAGACACGGUCCAG